GCGAACGGACGAGAAGCUUGCUUCUCUGAUGUUAGCGGCGGACGGGUGAGUAACACGUGGAUAACCUACCUAUAAGACUGGGAUAACUUCGGGAAACCGGAGCUAAUACCGGAUAAUAUUUUGAACCGCAUGGUUCAAAAGUGAAAGACGGUCUUGCUGUCACUUAUAGAUGGAUCCGCGCUGCAUUAGCUAGUUGGUAAGGUAACGGCUUACCAAGGCAACGAUGCAUAGCCGACCUGAGAGGGUGAUCGGCCACACUGGAACUGAGACACGGUCCAGACUCCUACGGGAGGCAGCAGUAGGGAAUCUUCCGCAAUGGGCGAAAGCCUGACGGAGCAACGCCGCGUGAGUGAUGAAGGUCUUCGGAUCGUAAAACUCUGUUAUUAGGGAAGAACAUAUGUGUAAGUAACUGUGCACAUCUUGACGGUACCUAAUCAGAAAGCCACGGCUAACUACGUGCCAGCAGCCGCGGUAAUACGUAGGUGGCAAGCGUUAUCCGGAAUUAUUGGGCGUAAAGCGCGCGUAGGCGGUUUUUUAAGUCUGAUGUGAAAGCCCACGGCUCAACCGUGGAGGGUCAUUGGAAACUGGAAAACUUGAGUGCAGAAGAGGAAAGUGGAAUUCCAUGUGUAGCGGUGAAAUGCGCAGAGAUAUGGAGGAACACCAGUGGCGAAGGCGACUUUCUGGUCUGUAACUGACGCUGAUGUGCGAAAGCGUGGGGAUCAAACAGGAUUAGAUACCCUGGUAGUCCACGCCGUAAACGAUGAGUGCUAAGUGUUAGGGGGUUUCCGCCCCUUAGUGCUGCAGCUAACGCAUUAAGCACUCCGCCUGGGGAGUACGACCGCAAGGUUGAAACUCAAAGGAAUUGACGGGGACCCGCACAAGCGGUGGAGCAUGUGGUUUAAUUCGAAGCAACGCGAAGAACCUUACCAAAUCUUGACAUCCUUUGACAACUCUAGAGAUAGAGCCUUCCCCUUCGGGGGACAAAGUGACAGGUGGUGCAUGGUUGUCGUCAGCUCGUGUCGUGAGAUGUUGGGUUAAGUCCCGCAACGAGCGCAACCCUUAAGCUUAGUUGCCAUCAUUAAGUUGGGCACUCUAAGUUGACUGCCGGUGACAAACCGGAGGAAGGUGGGGAUGACGUCAAAUCAUCAUGCCCCUUAUGAUUUGGGCUACACACGUGCUACAAUGGACAAUACAAAGGGCAGCGAAACCGCGAGGUCAAGCAAAUCCCAUAAAGUUGUUCUCAGUUCGGAUUGUAGUCUGCAACUCGACUACAUGAAGCUGGAAUCGCUAGUAAUCGUAGAUCAGCAUGCUACGGUGAAUACGUUCCCGGGUCUUGUACACACCGCCCGUCACACCACGAGAGUUUGUAACACCCGAAGCCGGUGGAGUAACCUUUUAGGAGCUAGCCGUCGAAGGUGGGACAAAUGAU
rnacentral:rRNA from 1 species